CGAGGGAAGUGCCGUUGAAAAUACCCUAUUCCGUCGAAAGUAACUGAUUUUUUUUUAAUGCAGAUUUUAAAAGUUCAGUUUCUAGGUGUUUAAACCCAUUAAUGUACCUGUAACCUGUCACAAACUAAUACACAGUAAUAUAAACCUGUAUCUCACAUUUAAAUAUGCAACGUAGCACUAAAACGUAAUCUACAACUCAUUAUCAUUCACAUUCACAUUCAAAUAUCCACCAAAACGUAUUAUAAGCUAACCAAUUACAAAUAUAAGCUAAUGUUCAUAAUUUACAAUAGUUGUACAGACACAAUUAGACAAUACAAUAUAUACAAAAGUUCUACAAACUAUACAAAUAAACUAGUAAAAGUAUCAUCAUCGGGCGGAGGUGAACGACGCUGCUCUGGUGUAUGGAAAUCAGCCUCGUGCUCCUGCUCGUCAUCGCCAGCCUGCUCGCCAUCGCCACCCUGUUGAUAGAAUCAAAAAUAUAAAUCAUUAGUCCGUAUAUAUAUAUAUAUAUGAUAAUUAACAAACUAGCCUUAAUUAAAAAAACAUAAACAAUAAGAAUACCUGAAUAGGUGGGGGCGGACGAAAAGCCUCCUCCAAGAGGGUAAUCACCAUCCGGAGCAUCUCGGCGCUCCAAGCGUCGAACUGCUCCCGUGGUAAU
rnacentral:lncRNA from 1 species